UGUUUGGACUAGGGGCCCUUCUCGGGUUACCGAAUUCAGAUAAACUCCGAAUGCCAUGUACUUAUACUCGGGAGUCAGACUGCGAGUGAUAAGAUCCGUAGUCGAAAGGGAAACAGCCCAGACCACCAGUUAAGGUCCCCAAAUAUAUGUUAAGUGGAAAAGGAUGUGGGGUUGCUUAGACAACCAGGAUGUUGGCUUAGAAGCAGCCACCAUUGAAAGAGUGCGUAAUAGCUCACUGGUCGAGUGACCCCGCGCCGAAAAUGUACCGGGGCUAAACAUAUUACCGAAACUGUGGAUGAACCUCUUUAGAGGUUCGUGGUAGGAGAGCGUUCUAAGGGCGGUGAAGUCAGACCGGAAGGACUGGUGGAGCGCUUAGAAGUGAGAAUGCCGGUAUGAGUAGCGAAAGAAGGGUGAGAAUCCCUUCCACCGAAUAUCUAAGGUUUCCUGAGGAAGGCUCGUCCGCUCAGGGUUAGUCGGGACCUAAGCCGAGGCCGAUAGGCGUAGGCGAUGGACAACAGGUAGAGAUUCCUGUACCAGUGCUAAUUGUUUAACCGAUGGGGUGACACAGAAGGAUAGGGAAUCGCACGAAUGGAAAUGUGCGUCCAAGCAGUGAGUGUGAGAAGUAGGCAAAUCCGCUUCUCGCGAAGCAUGAGCUGUGAUGGGGAAGGAAAUUAAGUACGGAAGUUCCUGAUUUCACGCUGUCAAGAAAAGCCUCUAGGAAGAGUAGUACUGCCCGUACCGCAAACCGACACAGGUAGAUGAGGAGAGAAUCCUAAGGUGAGCGAGAGAACUCUCGUUAAGGAACUCGGCAAAAUGACCCCGUAACUUCGGGAGAAGGGGUGCUCUAUUAGGGUGCAAGCCCGAGAGAGCCGCAGUGAAUAGGCCCAGGCGACUGUUUAGCAAAAACACAGGUCUCUGCAAAACCGUAAGGUGACGUAUAGGGGCUGACGCCUGCCCGGUGCUGGAAGGUUAAGAGGAGUGCUUAGCUUCGGCGAAGGUACGAAUUGAAGCCCCAGUAAACGGCGGCCGUAACUAUAACGGUCCUAAGGUAGCGAAAUUCCUUGUCGGGUAAGUUCCGACCCGCACGAAAGGCGCAACGAUCUGGGCACUGUCUCAACGAGAGACUCGGUGAAAUUAUAGUACCUGUGAAGAUGCAGGUUACCCGCGACAGGACGGAAAGACCCCGUGGAGCUUUACUGCAACCUGAUAUGGAAUGUUUGUACCGCUUGUACAGGAUAGGUAGGAGCCGAAGAGACGUGUGCGCUAGCAUACGAGGAGGCAAUGGUGGGAUACUACCCUGGCUGUAUGACCAUUCUAACCCGCCACGCUUAGCGCGUGGGGAGACAGUGUCAGGUGGGCAGUUUGACUGGGGCGGUCGCCUCCUAAAGAGUAACGGAGGCGCCCAAAGGUUCCCUCAGAAUGGAUGGAAAUCAUUCGCAGAGUGUAAAGGCACAAGGGAGCUUGACUGCGAGACUGACAAGUCGAGCAGGGACGAAAGUCGGGCUUAGUGAUCCGGUGGUUCCGCAUGGAAGGGCCAUCGCUCAACGGAUAAAAGCUACCCCGGGGAUAACAGGCUUAUCUCCCCCAAGAGUCCACAUCGACGGGGAGGUUUGGCACCUCGAUGUCGGCUCGUCGCAUCCUGGGGCUGUAGUCGGUCCCAAGGGUUGGGCUGUUCGCCCAUUAAAGCGGCACGCGAGCUGGGUUCAGAACGUCGUGAGACAGUUCGGUCCCUAUCCGUCGCGGGCGCAGGAAAUUUGAGAGGAGCUGUCCUUAGUACGAGAGGACCGGGAUGGACACACCGCUGGUGUACCAGUUGUUCCGCCAGGAGCAUCGCUGGGUAGCUAUGUGUGGCAGGGAUAAACGCUGAAAGCAUCUAAGCGUGAAGCCCCCCUCAAGAUGAGAUUUCCCAUUUCUUCGGAAAGUAAGAUCCCUGAAAGAUGAUCAGGUAGAUAGGUUUGGAGUGGAAGUGUAGCGAUACAUGGAGCGGACAAAUACUAAUCGAUCGAGGACUUAACCAAAA
rnacentral:rRNA from 1 species